CCUACGGGUGGCUGCAGUGGGGAAUAUUGGACAAUGGGGGCAACCCUGAUCCAGCCAUGCCGCGUGUGUGAAGAAGGCCCUCGGGUUGUAAAGCACUUUCAGUGAGGAAGAACGCCUGGUGGUUAAUACCCAUCAGGAAAGACAUCACUCACAGAAGAAGCACCGGCUAACUCCGUGCCAGCAGCCGCGGUAAUACGGAGGGUGCGAGCGUUAAUCGGAAUUACUGGGCGUAAAGCGCGCGUAGGUGGCUUGAUAAGCCGGUUGUGAAAGCCCCGGGCUCAACCUGGGAGCGGCAUCCGGAACUGUCAAGCUAGAGUGCAGGAGAGGAAGGUAGAAUUCCCGGUGUAGCGGUGAAAUGCGUAGAGAUCGGGAGGAAUACCAGUGGCGAAGGCGGCCUUCUGGACUGACACUGACACUGAGGUGCGAAAGCGUGGGUAGCAAACAGGAUUAGAUACCCCAGUAGUC
rnacentral:rRNA from 1 species